CCAAGACAACUCUAUUAUCUGAAUCCUCAAAGUACCCCAGAGGAAGCCCAUAUUUAGCUCUGAUUUUCAGGAUUAGAUCAUGAUAGAAUCCAGUUGCUUCUGAAAGAAAUGUUUUAAACUGAAGCCUUAUUUUCGUAAUACAGUCAGGUCGAGCAGGAACUUUCACUCCCUGAGAUGUAUUUGAGCCAGUAUUAGCUAGAGCAACACUGAAGUGAGCUCUUAGUUCCUCAAUGCGCCUAUAAUGCAACUGCCAAAGAGCAUAUUCUAUAUUGUGCUGCUCAGAAAAACCAUGAUCCUC
rnacentral:misc_RNA from 1 species